rnacentral:rRNA from 1 species
UACGGAGGGAGCUAGCGUUGUUCGGAUAUACUGGGCGUAAAGCGCACGUAGGCGGCGCAGCAAGUCAGGGGUGAAAUCCCGGAGCUCAACUCCGGAACUGCCUUUGAAACUGCAGUGCUAGAAUUCUGGAGAGGCGAGUGGAAUUCCGAGUGUAGAGGUGAAAUUCGUAGAUAUUCGGAAGAACACCAGUGGCGAAGGCGACUCGCUGGCCCGGUACUGACGCUGAGGUGCGAAAGCGUGGGGAGCAAACAGG